UACGGAGGGUGCAAGCGUUAUCCGGAUUCACUGGGUUUAAAGGGUGCGUAGGUGGGUCUGUAAGUCAGUGGUGAAAUCUCCGAGCUUAACUCGGAAACUGCCAUUGAUACUAUAGGUCUUGAAUUAUCUAGAGGUGAGCGGAAUAUGUCAUGUAGCGGUGAAAUGCUUAGAUAUGACAUAGAACACCAAUUGCGAAGGCAGCCCACUACGGAUAUAUUGACACUGAGGCACGAAAGCGUGGGGAUCAAACAGG
rnacentral:rRNA from 1 species